rnacentral:rRNA from 1 species
GAUCAUGGCUCAGGAUGAACGCUGGCGGCGUGCUUAACACAUGCAAGUCGAACGAUUGAAGCUGGAGCUUGCUCCGGCCGAUUUAGUGGCGGACGGGUGAGUAACGCGUGGGUAACCUGCCUCAUACAGGGGGAUAGCAGUUGGAAACGACUGGUAAAACCGCAUAAGCGCACGGUGUCGCAUGACACAGUGUGAAAACACUCCGGUGGUAUGAGAUGGGCCCGCGU